AUUCUUAUUGCUCUCUACUAGUUUCAAUAACAAACAACAUGCUGAUUUUAACAAGUCCAUCACUAAUUUUACAUGUAAUAGCAAUAUAAAAUCAAUUAAAAUAAUUAUUCUUACACUUGUAGUUGCGUUCCUGAAUUGAGCAACUUUCAAUAUCUAUUUAACUACAUUACAUAAUACAAUGCACUCAUGUCCUGAAUCAUAUUAAAGUCCUGACAUAAAAAAAAACUUUCUACAUGAGCAAAUCAAUCUACAAUAGCUUCAACAUUCUUGAUAAAAUAAUUUUCUAGCUUUGAGGUUUACAAAUUUGGCCAAUUAAUGGCCAGAUCCAUGAACGUCCGCCAUAUUUGUUGCAAUAAAGGCUUUUUCUCGUUAUGACUUACCACAGAGAAUCACCCAAACAAAAUAUUAGAAAUAUGUCAGAUCGUGAAUUCAUGCUUAGUCAAAUUAUGAGCUAAGAUAACCAUUAACAGAGAAAAACUCGUGAUUUCACAAUGAUUUAACAGAGACCUGCUCAAAAGCAAUGACAACAGAUACAUUCAAAAGGAACUUCAUAAGCUCAUAUCGACAUUUGAUUUAAUAAUGACCUUACAUUAAGAUGAAUAAGCAAUUGAUAGCAAACCAACCGAGUUAAUGAGUCGACAUAGCUUAAACAUUCUGCCUAAACUAAUCAACAUAAUCACAUGAUCAUUAGGAGCAACAAAGAUAGAUUAAAACUAAAAGUACCAAUAUCAAAAACCACAGGAAGAAAUCAUCAUUCAUCAAAAAUCUAACAAGUUUCAAUUUACCACAAGCUAUGUGACAACUAGAAGCAUACUUCAAAUUCUGAUAUCAAUUUAACAAACAAACAUACCAAACAAACUAAUCAUAAAGCAUCACGUGAAAAAAGCAACAUAUCUAUAGUUCAUAGAAGAAAAAAUGGAGAAGUUUGAUAAUGAAAAUCCAAAACCAUACAGAUUUCUAGGUGUGUACCCGAGCUUACAAUAAACUGAAACUUUUGCCAACUAAAAGCUAAGAAAGAACUCGACACCAAAUGAAUUCAGCAAGAUCAAACAGCAGCAAAAUAGAUGAAAGAGUCUCAACUCUUAGCUUGAGGGAACUUUUAAAGUGUUUUCCUUUAAAGUAAUCAGUGUAAGAUCAGCAAGAAUGAAGAAGGAAAAAUGGAGUUUUUUCCCCGAAUAUCAGUGUAUAUCCGUGAAUGUCUAUGAGUGAGUGUAUAAGGUCUCUUAUAUAGAGUAUUAGUGUGCUUUGUAUGAGGGAAAAAAAGGGAAUCAAGGAAUGUCAGCUGGAAAUUAGAGGGGGGGGGGGGAGAGGGCAUCUUUUAAUAACCAAUUUAUACAAUUGUCCUAUUUUUAGAUGUUUUAUCCAAUUUUCAACAUCUUUUAUUAACAACUUGGGACAAUUGUCCAUUUUUCCAGCAUGCUCUUUUCUAGAAUCAUCUAAAACAUUCUCCUAAAUUCUUUUUUUAAUUAACCCUACUAAAUUCCAUAUACUUACAAAAACAAGGUUAUUAAGACAAUAUCAAAUUAAAUAACACAAUCAGUGAUGUACAAUAAUUUUAACAAACAAAAUAUCCUAACAUCUAAUUAGAACCCCAAAGUUGAUUAACUAGCAAUUUGCAAUUAAACUAUUUAACAUGCAUUUAAGAAAUCUGAACACACAAAUGAAUAAACCUAGAUGUUGAACUAAUCUAAUUAGGCUGAUUUUAUCAUUCAAAAUGGCAAUUUCAAAUAAAACUUAGAGGACUGUUUUGUUUUUUUUUGUUUUUUUUAUUAUUUAAAAACAAAGAAAAAAAAAUGAAACCAAAAAAUGAGAUAAAACAAAAUGAGGAGAUACCUAAUGAAAAAAAGAACGGUUCAGUUUGAAGCAAAUUCUACGAGAUUGGCCGAAUUCCGAUGUUUUUGAUACAAACUAAAAUUAACGUCAAUCGAUUUUUCUCGUGAGAACAAUUGAUUAACGUGAUUUUCAGUUUUAAUUGAACCUUGAAACUUCUAAAAACUUGAAAAGGGCAAAACUAGGGUUCUGAAGUUUUUAGAUCUGGAAUUGGGUGAGUUCAGGUGGGUUUGGAGGCUAAGGCUAAGAGAUUAAGAGUGAGGGAAAGGUGGGGAUUGUCUGGUAAAAAUUUGGGGUUAUUUGGAGUGGUGCCGCCGGUGGAGCAACCGGAUUUGGGAGUAGAGGCGGCUAGGGUUUAGGGCUUGAGAGAGAUGAGAAGGAAAUGAGUUAAGGUUUUUGGGGUUUGGGGGGAGGGGGUUGUUUCGACAGAUAUAAGGGAUUGGGA
rnacentral:lncRNA from 1 species